GUCCACGCCCGUAAACUAUGGGUGCUAGCCGUUGGGAAGCUUGCUUUUCAGUGGCGCAGCUAACGCAUUAAGCACCCCGCCUGGGGAGUACGGUCGCAAGAUUAAAACUAAAAAGGAAUUGACGGGGGCCCGCGACAAGCGGUGGAGCAUGUGGUUUAAUUCGAAGCAACGCGCAGAACCUUACCUACCCCUUUGACAUGUCUAGUAUGGGCACCGGAGACGGAGUCCUUCAGUUCGGCUGGCUAGAACACAGGUGCUGCAUGGCUGUCGU
rnacentral:rRNA from 1 species